UCCUCCACGAAACCAACAUAAGUGAGCUUUGUGCGCGUCUAUUCCCUGGCAUCCGCCUGCGCCGGGUCCGCCUCCAUCACUUUCAGAGCGCCAUUCCCAGUUCUGAGGGACUGACAAGGAAAGGACUCCUCAAAAAGCACGACAAAAGAAAACUAACCACAAGCCAUAUGGAGUAAAAUGAAAUGUGACCAGGCAGAGGUUUGGGAGCGCACCAACGCCUCAGUCCCACAGGAAAGCCCAUUAAACUUUUCUUGGGUUAAGCAUGACUAAGAGAGAUGCACUUGAGUGAGGUCAAACACCAGGACACAGAGAGAUAUCAUUGAGAUUAUGUGGAGAGAGAAUCACCUGAAACUAUCACUAUUUGUUGAGAUUUUUUUUGCACCACUUUUAAAUAAAAGAAAGUAAGUUCACUAAUA